AUUAAGUUCACAAGCAAUGAAAGAACAAUCAAAACACCUUUUUAAUAGUCAUAUUAGCAGUACAUAAUUUCAACCAUGGUGAGAACCUAAAUCUAACAAUUGGUUCACUCAAACAUAUUCAGCUAAAUGCAGCAGUACCCAUUUUUUAGAGAAAGUGAAAACCGAAUGAGAAAGAAAGAAACUGGGGAGAGAGAAACGAAACUGGGGAGAAAGAAACUGAGGGUUAUAAGUUGAUUUUCUUAUAAAUUUAUCAUGUAAUAUAAUAUUGUGUGUUACAGGUAGUCAUCAUCAUUCCACAACAUCCAUCACUUCUUAUUUAUUUUAUUAUCAUACCAAUGAAAAUUUUAUUCAAGGGAUACUCAAUGUCAGAAGCAGUCAUAUCAAAGAUCUUUGAAUUCAAAGAAAAUACAAAAAAAAAAGAUUUUUUUUUAAAUACAUAUAAAUAUUAUGUCAUCACCUCAUCAUUUAGUUAACUUGGAGCGAUGCUGAUAUGUCAUCACCUCAUAAUUUAGUGAACUUGGAGUGAUGCAAAGGAAGCAGCCAGAUCCAACGCCGCUUGUAAGUGAGAAGCAUUCGUUCCCUGAACCAAAAAAAUAAAAAAUUGUUGACAAUUGUAAAAGAUAAAACUAGGAGUUAUGUUCCAUUCAUUUACAUGGACGAUAACAUAUUAUACCACUAGCCAAGAUAAUUACCAAAUCCAAAUGAUAUAAGAUGAAAGAACUGACAUUAUCCAUCAUAAUUACCAAGCACAUAAUGUGUUUAAGAAAAUGUUUUAGCAUUAGCAAUAUGAACCAAAAAGAAGAUCAGUUUAGCAUUACCUUCUUAACGGUCAUAUUCUCAUGUCUGCCGAACAUUGUGUAGUAGUAUGGUGUAGAGUCCUUUGUAUUCAAAUUGUCUACCUUUCCACACUUCAAAGCAGUGACGAGCUUGAAUUCACGCAGAGACAAUCUUACUGGUUUUCCCCCAAACAGAACCCAAAUCUCAGUUUUAUUUGAAACUUCUAUUUGCCUUCUAAGCAAAAAAAACCCAAAUCUCGAUGACCAUAUGGGUUUCUCGGCCAAUUCAAACAGCUUCUCGAAUCCGUUCUUCUUGAAGACAUCAAUCUCAUAUGGUUUUAGUAUGGCUAAAAGAUCUCUUAGAUGCGUCAUAACAGAGUAAGUAUUAACCUUCUCUCCGUUUGGUUCCAGCCCCGCUCUGAACAACCAUUUUGGGAGACCAGAAUCCAUUUGUAUAUACAGAACGGUGAGAUCGUGAAUUUGUCAGUUUAACAAAUUCCAAAGAUUGUGAAUUUGCGAUUGAUCGAAACCGUUAAUGUUUAAAGACUUACAAUUCACUGGAAAAUGCCGAAUUUCUUGACGGUGGCAUAGGGUUUAUCGCCAUCGGGGAUGAAGAGAAAAGCAACAAAACAAAAAAAUGUUGCUUGGAUCGUUUUCUCUUCAGUUGGGCCACGUAUGGGCCUUUUCUCUUAUUUAAAGAAGUUCUUAUUAAAAGAAGUUCUUUUUUUAUGUCCAAAAACAAAUCAGCUCUUCACUGUCGCAACUCACAAUCUUCUUCUUCUUCACAAAAUCGCUUCGAUUCCGUCACGAAUUUUUGAUUGGAUUUCUGGGUUCUUUCUAAGAAAGCAGUCGACGUGUUGAUAAAAUCAACGAAGAAGAUCCUUCGUGCGUCUUCUUCCUCCUCUCUGUUUUGGGUUUUUAGAGUUUAUCUUCGAAAGUGAAAUUGAUUGAAUUUAAAAGGGUAAAUGAAAAGUUUUGUGAUUUUUAUUUCAAUCUCUGAGAUUUUUGAGUAGCUUUUUGUGUUUUUGAAUCUGUAGAUUUUUCCAGUAGCUGAAAAUUGAGGUCGAUUUGAACCGAGGAGUCCAAGCUUCCACAAGAAAUUGAUUUGGAAGAUCAUAAUACCACCGGUAAGAAAUUGAUUUUUGGAACUUGAUUUUUCCGAUUGGUUUGUUUAUUUUAUGCAUUUUACAUAGAAAUUCCAUGUUUUGGUGAAGCCCAAUUUGAAACACGAGAUAUGUUUGGAUAUUUACAUAGGCUAAUGAUAUGUGUUGCUAUCUGUAUCUAAUUUGUCAGUUUUAAGAAUUCUCUAAAAGGUGGUAAUUCUCUGAAAGCUGGUAACCUCACGAAUGGUUGUAUAUUGAUUUUUAUGUAGGAAGACUUGCUUUAAACACCAUGAGUGUCAAAACGCUUGAAAUGAAAAUGCAUAUGCACACGUUUCUGGCUUGGAAAUUGGACCCAAGAGUGUCUGCGCUUGUGGAAUCACAUGUUUCGGUUGGUUUUGAAAUUCAAAAAUGGUCUUUAUAGGCAAGAUAGUAAUCUUCUUAGUGCCCUUGCCUCGAUGUAUGAUGAGAGUAAAGAUCAUUUCGUCAUUGGGAAUCCUAAGAUGGAUAUUGAUUUUGGUCUAGAAGACGUUUUAUAUAUUACAGGUCUUCCAACUGACGCAGAACAUGUAUUUAUCUUUUCUUUUACUUCAACAUAUCUUUAGUUUUAGUUAUUCGAUUUCUAAUGCCCAAUUUGAAUACAGGUUUCAGGAUAUGAGAGUCAAAACAUCAAUGCUACAAUCAUGGAGCAUUUUAAGAUAAAUGAAGAGAAGGCUGAGUCAUUAAUGAUGAACUCCGGUAACAGUAUUGAUCUCUCAAGAUUGAAGUUUGAAUUUGAGAUGGUACCACAAGAGGAGGAUAUUGACUUAGAGCCUUAUUUCAAGGCUUAUCUCCUCUUUUUGUUGGGAGAAUUCAUUCACCCAAACAACAGCUGCUCUUAUUCUCCCAUGUACCUACCACUGCUUGGAUUGAAUGUUGUCAACCACUAUGCUUGGGGAGCAGCUAUGUUGGCGAAUAUGAAAGAAUCUAUAGAAAAAGUGAAGAAAGUUGGGAAAUUCACAAGCUUAUGUGGUUUUUCGUACGCCCUCACGGUAAGGUCUUUAAAAAACAAAAGGUAGUUAAUAUGAUUCAUAAUAAAUCAAUGAUGUACAAUGACAAUUAUUGUUCUUUAUCUUUUUCUUAUAGGUAUUUGCAUUAGAGCGGUUUCCAUUCCUUAGAGAAAGAUGUGGAUCAUCACCUCUAUAUUCUCUACCAUCCGGAUUUCCCUUGAUUUUGGGGUGGAUGGAGGCGUUGUGUAAACCGAAUAAAGACACGAAAAAUGUAAAGUCUGUGGGAUACUACAAAAAGAAGCUUCAAGACAUGGAAGAAAAAGACGUAAGAUCUUAAACUCUUAUUUCUGUUUUUAAAUACAUAUAAAUUGAAUAUAUAUCGUUAUAAAUUGAAUAUAUAUCGUUUUUAACUGAGAAGCAUAGGUUGUGUGGCAGCCUUAUAACAAUCGUGACUUUAAACUGUCGGAGAAGUAUGCUUCUCAGUUGCCUAUGGUCUUUUCACGCACACCAUGUUCGUGAUUUAAAGAAUGUGCGUAUAAUCGUCCAGAUGUAUGUUUUAAGCAAUUAGGAUUAGAGAAGUCGCAAGUCAAAACAUCGUGGCCAAAGAUUAAGAAAAAGGAGGAAAUUGAAACUAAGCAAAUACAAAAACAAAGAUUGGAAAUCUUCCAACCCUUACUACAAAUUCGUGGCUGAGGAGUGGACUAAGCGAUAUGAAAAUUUUAUCUGUGAAAUUGCUCGAGAUGAGGUGACGAGUGUUCCUGAGGUGAGUUGAUUAUUUAAGUUGAUUUUUUUUUGUUUGUCUUUGUGUACUUCGUAUUAUUGUCUUUGUCUCCGUAAUAACAAAGUUUUUUUUCUGAGGAAGAGUUGCAAGUGGUGGAUAUUCUACUUCUCAUUCUUUUCGAAUUAAACAUGAGAGGCCUUAUUUGGUCGAAGACAAUGAAGAGGUGAUUUUGAAUUCUUGUUUUAAUUUUGUUCCUUCUUUGUUUGAACUUUCAUUUGUAUCCGAGUGUCUUCUCUCAACUAAUUGAGCAAAAGCUGCUGAUUGUCAAUGCAUGUCAAUAAUCAAUGCAUGUCAAUGGUUUUCAUAGGGACCAUCGGAUCAUAGAAUGGUGUGUGCCACACAUGUUUGUGAGAAUGAAUCAUCGGAUCAUAGAGAUUCUGCGUGUGAGAGCACGCAUGGGGAUAAUUCCACAAAUGCACACAGCAGCGAAAAGGAGCAACCAUCACCAUCAUCACACAACAAUGACAAUGGUAACAUACCAUCUUAACACGCUCUCAACAUAUGUAUACUAACCAUUGUGAAAUUAUGAUAUGCCAUUUUUAAAUAAACAGGGGACUACGUAACUGUGGAGCCGGAGCUGCUAGAGCUACAGGUGACAUUUAUUCUCUUUUUUUAGCACAAAUGAACGUUGAACUCCCCUUGGUAUGAUGUGCAUUAUGUGGUCUCUCAAAUCCGAACAGUUUGGUUAUCUCUCAUUGCCUUAUUUAAUUGUUUACCUCUAAUUUUACUCUGAUUUGAUUGUGGAGAAUCAGGUUGAAAGACUUGAAGAGAAUAAGGUUACGACUGUCCCUCCUCUGAGUGUUCAAGCAAGUUGAUAUGACUCAAAUUACCCUAAAGAGUGUUACUCUCAUCAAAAGAGGUUCAGAUGUAGUACUUAGGGAUCGAAUCUACAGAGACUCUAGGAUUACUCAGUAGACUUAAAUAAUUAUAAAUGAAGAUAGACUAAAAGGUCUUAAUAGUUUUAAAAGCAGUAAAUGAUAAAUCGAAAACAAUAGUGAUUCAAUAGAUUAAAUUGAAGUGGUUUCAAGAAUGGGAAAGCAGCUAGAUUCACGUAAUUUUCAGGUAUGAAAUGUACGCACUUAGUUUAGACUAAAGGGUUUGAUGGUUUUUGAACUAAACAAUGAUUUAACCGGAUAGGUUAUGUUUGCUAGAUCUCGGAUCUCAACUGUCGUAGUUUGAUCUCGAGAGAGUGUCGAUCGAUGUGACUUGAUGUACAUCGACCGGUACACCUUUGUAACGAUCGACAGACAGAACGAUAGUUGCGUCGAUCGAUGGUUAUUCUAGCGAGCUUUGCGAACGGGUUUAACUUGUUCUCUAACCUUCUCAGACCAACUGUCGUUGCGCCUGAGUUAGUUAGAUCACGCAAGUGGGUUCAGGUAUUGAGGGGAAACGGUUAGUUGGACUCAAUUAAUCCUAAGAUCUAAAAUGAAGGUGAUCAAUCUCAAUUUUAGCAUUAAGUUCACAAGCAAUGAAAGAACAAUCAAAACACCUUUUUAAUAGUCAUAUUAGCAGUACAUAAUUUCAACCAUGGUGAGAAACCUAAAUCUAACAAUUGGUUUACUCAAACAUAUUCAUGAGAGACAAAGUCAUGAUGGUGUGAAAUAAACUUAAAUGAAACAUAGAACACAGAUAGAUAGAGUAAUAGAAAUAAAGGAGUUCAAGAUCUUCUCUGUUUUGUAGUCUCAGAUCUAUCUCUCCAAUCCUAAGCUCUUCUAAUGGUAGCCAAAAUGCUCCUUCUCCAAACUAGGUCUUUUUGCAAGUGUCUCCUAGAAAUGAUACAAAACCCUAGUACAUAUAGCCUAACAGGCGGCCAGGG
rnacentral:lncRNA from 1 species